rfam:Ideonella sakaiensis DNA, contig: ISCTG076.
UCGCAAUCCGCCAACCGGUCAAGCCGAGCCGCGGAAGGUUGUCUGAACCCACUGUCACGCUGGAAACCGGCGGAAGAGGUGAGCG